CGAUUAGGUAGUUGGUGAGGUAAAGGCUCACCACGCCAACUAUCCCUAGCUGGCCUGAGAGGAUAAUCACCCCCCUGGAACUGAUACACGUUCCAAACUCCUACGGGAGGCAGCAGGGGGGAAUUUUGCACAAUGGGCGCAAGCCUGAUGCAGCCAUGCCCCGUGUGUGAAAAAGGCCUUCGGGUUGUAAAGCACUUUCACCGAGAAGGAAGGUUAAGUAGUUAAUACCUGCCUGAUUUGACG
rnacentral:rRNA from 1 species